CGUUACUAUAGUUUUACUUCAUUACUUUAUAUUAAACCCGGUUAUGUAAGCUAUUCUAGUAUAUAAUAUUCGAGUCCCAUGUCCAGUAUCAGGCUUUAGGCUACUAAUACAUGAAUUAGUCAACAAAUUGUUUUAUUUGUCUGAUUCAGCUCUAUUUAUAUAUUAUAUAGUCUACAUAGGCCAUUGUGUCUGCUGUAAAUUCAGUAUAAGAAUCUAUACACCGUGUCGGUUGUGUUUAGGAGCAUUAGUUAGCAUUUGUUAGCAUUAGUAGUCCUUGACGCUGAUUACGGGAACUCGCCGUUCUUUGCGCGCGCUUAUAAACCCCGCACGAGCCGAGCAGUAUCAUUGGCUGAGUGUGAGCUCGAGGAGUCGCAUCUCCAGCCGCUUUCCGCCGCUCACGGUUUUCCUCUCUACUACUUUGACCGAGACGCGACACACGGGCAUGCUGGGCACCGGCGAUUUUCGGGACGCUUCCCGCGGUGAAGGCGCGAGACUACGCGGCGAGACCGAGAGGAAGCGCUUAUCUCUGCGAAUCACACAGGUAAAGUCGAACACACUUACUCCCGUGACUCGGAAUUGCUUCCUUUCCUAAGCAAUCCCCAGAGCGUUUACGGUGUUAAGAUUCAGGACGUGCAUGUCCAAGGUGCCUUUGGACUGGAAUUACAUCACUGUCGCCAGUUGUGUGUUGAGAUAACUAAUGGGAAUGGUGCAGCUGCGUCAUCGGCGUCCUAAGCCUGCCGUCGUGUGCGUUUGUGUACCUAUGUGCAUUCAUACAUAACGGUCAGUCUGCGUUAAAUCUUGACACCUCAUAGAGGGUCAUCAUGUGGCUCAUUUUGCAUUAUCACGUCUUGUGAAAAGCAGAAGGGGAGGCAAAUGAAACGAUGAAUGUUGACAGCUGAUUACUGUCUCAAACGAUUACCUUUCAGCACCCUGGACAGAGACGAUGCGCGCUCCCGCGAUCCAUGAGCGCGCAAACUUGACAUCUGCUAUGGUUGCAGGAUUGGAUGGAUUGUAGUCUGACCAUUGAAACCAUGCCAUCAUGUAAAGUUUGUGGAGCCAAGAAAGAUUAAGAAACGACUUCAUGCAGGACAGCAUUUCAGAUUAUAUCUAGUAGCGUGUGUAGCCACUUAUUAAAUAUGAAAACUUUUUAGUCUGGGGUUUAAUGUCACCGUGCAGAGCAUGUUUAUUAGACCUGUAAAUUCAUACAAUGUGUGUUAGCCUAACAGUUCAGUUCUUCUGCAUUGGCAAGCUUAGAUUUAAUGAACAGCUACCUUUAGAAGUACUGAGUGAAUGAAUGUAGUGUGUGUGUGUGUGUGUGUGUGUGUGUGUGUGUGUGUGUGAGAGAGAGAGAGAAAGAGAGUGCAGUUUGUAUGCAUUUGAAUGGAUCUCCCAGCACAUCUCCUUAAUAAUUCAUAGCAGUGUGCUGUAUUCAGUGCUUUAAAAAUUGAGGUAUUGAGCUCAGCCUCAUGGCACAGAUCGAUCACUGUGAUUGGCUAUAAUAAUGUUGCUAUCAUUGGGAUAUUUCCUGGUGCAAAGCUCUUGCUGGUUUAGUAUUCUUUUGGGAUUAGUUUUUCUGAACAUCAGACCACAGUUGAGAGACCACUGAAGCUGAAUGUAUACACCUGAUUAAACAAGAAUGCACAAUGGAAUAUUUCCUAACACUAUAUAACAACAGAUUUGUAUAAUUAAAGGGAGGAUAUUGUUAAAAUUGGCUUUUUUAAAUUUUUUAUUCAACACCCCUGUUUUGGUGACAUUCAAGCAGUAUAGAGCUGCCCAAGCACUAAGAAAAUUGAAAUCUGUGCCUUGUACUUUUUAUCGUUAAUUUUUGUGCGAAAAAAUAUUUAAUGUUGAAAAAUACAGACUGUAUCUGCUACACGUGAGGAAUACAUUUGCACAUAUUCACAAAGUUUUCUGUGUUUGUGCCAUCUUUGCAGUCAUACUACAGUGCAAGCGAACUCAAAUUGAGUGAAGGUAGAUGGAUUUGUAAGCUUACAUUGGCUAAUGAAAUCAACACUAACUCAAAAAGAUGAGUGAAGAAAGCCUCUAGUAAUGUGGCAUUCCUGCAAAGUGAAAACCUUGGCAAUGAGGAGGUUAUUUCACUUCACUGGAGAUAAAAAAAUCAAGAGAAGAGGAGCUGCAUGUGUGACUUGACCGUAUGCAGCCACAGAUAAUGUCAAAUGUAACAUUGUAAAGCCGUGAAUGUCCCCAAAAUAACCAGUUUACUUUUCUUUCUUGCGGCCCAACUUGCAACCUAAUUGGUUGGGACAGAACUUGACGAUACUCGGUGUGUUUCAGGAAAGUAUAUGUUUCUUUAUUUUUUUUAAUUUGAAAUGUCAUGAACCAGUUAAAAAAACACUUGCAGCAGUCUUGUAGCCACUUCCCAUAGAAUCACAUGUACAGUGUGUGCUAGUGGUUCUGCAGGCACUUGAAAAUCUUUCUACUCAGGACUGGAACAGCAACACAUUACCCAAACAGUGAUUUAAUUAAGAUGUCUGCCUGUAUUGAUGUGCAAACUGCUUUAUUCCUUGGUGCGCCUGCUUCCAGCUCGCUAAUUUACUGGAGUAAACAAAGAUUACAUCAUACACCUAAGUGUUGUUCAAUUCUAGCAUAAACUCACUGCUAUUUUUGGCAUCCUAACAGUUAAAGAUUUAGCUCUUUUUCGUCCUCAUAUCCUGUUUCAGACAUUACUCAUGCAAGUAUGAACGGUUAUCUACAUUAAUAUUAUAAAUGAACGUUAAGGACUACUGAGUUGGAGAGGAUGAGACAGGCACUCUAUAACACCUUAAUAAAUAUAUCUUUCAAAGAUGGGGGAAAAAAACCCCAGAAAGUACUUUUACAUUUUAUGGAACAUUUGCUUUGUCUGAAUGACUAGUUGUGUAUUCAGUCUUACGUUUAAAUGCCAAAGUCAUGUUAUGGGCUAAACUGUGUUUUUGAAGCAUGAAAGUGUUUAUCAAAAUGCAAGUGCAAGCACAUUACCUUGUAAAAUUUCAGUUAAUAGCCUCUGAAAUGCAUUAUAAAGGAAAGAGCAAUGGUGUAGUGGUGUGGAAAAGCCCAAAACCUCAUUUGUGAGGUAGACAGGGAGACAAGUAGAUGGGCAACUAUAGAAAGAGGAAGAGAGAGAGACAGAUAUUAGAUGUCAGGAAUAUGUUCUGCUUCCCCAGUUGCUUCCCCAGGGGAAGCAUAUGAGUGUGUAGAGUGCAGCCGAGCCCUAUGCUGAAACAACUGACUGUGUCUUAAUAAGCCAGCAGUGUAACGAGAUCAGAUCCAUUGCACUUGCCUGCUACUGUACUCUGACAGCAAAAUAGUUUAUUCUGUAGGGCAUGGCAGCCUUCUUUGCUUUUGUUUCCCACUCAUACAUUUGAUGCAAAUCAAUCUCUUAAAUACCCAGUUGUCUACAUCUCCUGCAGUGAUAAUUAUUUUAAAGGCAGCUGGUGAAUGGCAGGCAGUUCACUGCGUAUCAGUGUGUAACAAUGUUUUUUUUUGUUUUAUCUGCUUAUAUUGUGUAUUGUGAAGUACGUCAAAAUAUUGUAUAUGGUGCAUAGCUAUAUUAUCUACAGUAUGUAUCUAUAUAAUGAAUCCUAUAAUUUGGAUUAAUUCUGUGGUUAGCAUAUGUGGCGUUCUGUGAAAAGUUAGAAUGAUUGAUUUUGAGCUACCUACAGUAUGAUGACAUCGCUAACAUAUGACCAGACGUUAAAAAGUAUCGUGGAAUUUCACAACUCAAAUUCCAUGGUUAUUCAUUCAACAUAUAAAUAUCAGCAUUUGGAUGGUUAUUGCAUUGUAAUGAAUGUUAAUUAUCCUGCUGCAUGACAGUCAAGUAAACAUUUGGUUGUGGUUUAUACUUUGUUCAGCAGCGCUGUUGAGCGCCAUUGACCUUACAUGACCCCAAACCAAGAAUUUGCUUUGUAUUCGCCAGAUAUGUUCUUUCAGUAAAACGAAAGAAACAAAUCAAACUAUUAAUAUCUUUCAAUGUAUGUAUGUCUGUUAAGCUAGUUUAUUUAACUUUUUCAAAUUGUUGUUAGUUAUUAUUUUUGUUGCUAAAAUGGUUGGUCAAAUUAAAACAAACUAUGUUUUACUGUUUAUAAACCUUAUUGCUAUACCCGUCAACUGCCAUUAUUCACAUGACGAGAUACUGAGCGUUACAGCCUAUGUCCUUUUAUGAUUAUGAGCAAAACCCUGAAUUUGUUUGUAUUCACCAG
ensembl:lncRNA